AAAAUACUAACACCCGCCAAGGCCACUGGGAAGGAGUCUUUGCUCACAUGCCCAAGCCUGACCUACUUUUCCUAAUGAAUGCCACAGCAGAGCAGUGGAAGAUUCAUGCCAGCCUACCCUGGUGCUGUUCUGCAGACCUAUGCCAGCACUGAAAGAAUCCAGCCGAUAUUGGGGCUCGUUCUGUUUUUAACCAAGGAUCUUGUGACAGAUGUGCUCAGAAAUGGCUCGGCAGAAACAGAAAGUGAGUGCUCCAGAUAUUGUGUAAGUCUAAUAAAAAUAUGUGAUGGUAAAGCCUAAACACAGACAAGAU
rnacentral:lncRNA from 1 species